UUUGCUUAUCUUUCUUUACUGUAACUCCCAGCAGCAAAGAAACAGUUAACAGUAGUGUAAAAAAGGUUUAACCAAUCAGUAAGCAUUACAGUAGUAUAAACUGUCAUCAGGCUCCUCCCAAUUCCUCUUUCUUGAUGUAGCCGAACAGUCGUAGAGUCAACCAUGUAAAUGUAGAAGAACUUAAAAACGAUGAACAGGUAACGGUGUAGGUAUCCGGUAGGAUGAAGGUAGUGAUCAACCCGCGGGUAGAUUCGAGACAGAAGGCAAAUGAUCUUCACACUAGGAGGAAGGAGAAACAUUGUGAAAGUAUGGUCUCUUUGGCAAGAGAAAAACCAAAUUAAAUGCAGUGAACUGAAUGUCAAUUUAAGUGCAAGCUCUAACUAUGAUAAUUAACUGUGUGAUAUGUAGAGUAAGUGACAUACCUAGAAUAUAAUAACCAAUGUACCAUUGAAAAACGGGUUAGCAUAUAAUAGCGACCUAAUGAGUAUAGGCUAGAGAAAAGAGAGGAUGCUAGUCAUAGUAGAACUGGAGAUAGUACAGGAUACUUACCUAAAAGGGUGGGUAAAAAGAAAUCCAGGGUGGGAAAAUAUUCGCCUCCUGUCUUUAAUAAAAUUUAGAUUAUUCGGUCACUAGGAGUUAGAAUAAUCCCGAAUUUUAUGGCAAGACAGGAGGCUUCAUAUUUGCUAUUUUAACGCACAGAUAGCAGAGACAGAGAAACGUGUGGAGAGUGUCUGAAAUAAAAGGUACGGAAGGUGGAUUCUCUAGACCAAUCAGCGGAGGCUAGAAUUUCCGCUAAG